GAAGAAGGUCCUUAGGUGUAACUACUUACAGUCGGGGAGAAGGCGUGAUCUUAUCUCAUCAAUUGAUUGACGUUCCGACGAGAAGAAGCACCGGGUUAAUUCCGUGCCCGGCGGCCGCGGUAAUACAGAGGGUGCAAGGCGUAUAUGGGAUUUACUGGGCGUAGCGCGCACGCAGGGCGGUUGUUUAAUGUGAGAUGUGAAAUCCCCCGGGUCUAAACUGGGGAAUGGCAUCUAAGACUGGUCAGCUAGAGUCUCGUAGAGGGGGGGUAGAAUUCCAUGUGUAGCGGUGAAAUGCGUAGAGAUGUAGAGGAAUACCGGUGGCGAAGGCGGCCCCUUGGACAAAGACUGACGCUCAGGUGCGAAAGGUGGGGGGAGCAACCAGGAUUAGAUACCCUGGUAGUCCACGCGGUAAAGGAUGUGGAUUUGGAGGUUGUGCCCUUGAGUCGUGGCUUCCGGAGUUAACGCGUUAAUUCGACCGCUUGGGGAGUACGGCCGCAAGGUUAAAACUCAAAUGAAUUGACGGGGGCCCGCCCAAGCGGUGGAGCAUGUGGUUUAAUUGGAUGCAACGGGAAGACCCUUACCUACUCUUGACAUCCAGAGAAUUUAGCAGAGAUGCUUUGGUCCCUUCGGGAAUUUUGAGACAGGUGCUGCAUGGCGGUCUUCAGUUCGUUUUGUGAAAUGUUGGGUUAAUUCCCGCAACGAGCGCAACCUUUUUCCUUUGUUGCCACCGAUUCGGUCGGGAACUCAAAGGAGACUGCCGGUGAUAAACCGGAGGAAGGUGGGGAUGACGUCAAGUCAUCAUGGCCCUUACGAGUAGGGCUACACACGUGCUACAAUGGUGUAUACAAAGAGAAGCCACCUCGCGAGAGCAAGCGGAACUCAUAAAGUACGUCGUAGUCCGGAUUGGAGUCUGCAACUCGACUCCAUGAAGUCGGAAUCGUAUAGUAAU
rnacentral:rRNA from 1 species